GCUUCUUCGGAAGUGAUUAAAGUGGCGCACGGGUGAGUAACGCGUAGACAAUCUGCCCUUCAGUCCGGGACAACUUUCCGAAAGGGGAGCUAAUACCGGAUAACAAUGUUAAACAUAAGUUUAAUAUUUGAAAGCUCCGGCGCUGAUGGAUGAGUCUGCGUCCCAUUAGCUUGUUGGUGCGGUAGUGGCGCACCAAGGCUGCGAUGGGUAGCGGGUUUGAGAGGACGAUCCGCCACACUGGAACUGAGACACGGUCCAGACUCCUACGGGAGGCAGCAGUGGGGAAUAUUGCACAAUGGAGGAAACUCUGAUGCAGCAAUGCCGCGUGAGUGAAGAAGGCCCUUGGGUCGUAAAGCUCUUUUAUGGGGGAAGAUGAUGACGGUACCCCAGGAAUAAGCACCGGCUAACUACGUGCCAGCAGCCGCGGUAAUACGUAGGGUGCGAGCGUUGUUCGGAAUUACUGGGCGUAAAGGGCGCGCAGGCGGAGGUGUAAGUCGGAGGUGAAAGCCCGGGGCUCAACCCCGGAGGGUCUUUCGAAACUACAUCUCUAGAGAGGGUUAGGGGCCGGCAGAAUUCCUGGUGUAGAGGUGAAAUUCGUAGAUAUCAGGAGGAAUACCGGUGGCGAAAGCGGCCGGCUGGGGCCACUCUGACGCUGAGGCGCGAAAGCGUGGGGAGCAAACAGGAUUAGAUACCCUGGUAGUCCACGCCGUAAACGAUGAGCACUGGACGUUCGGAGGGUUCGACCCUUCUGGGUGUUCAGCUAACGCA
rnacentral:rRNA from 1 species